rnacentral:lncRNA from 1 species
UUUAUGGAACGGUCAGUAAUAGCAACUGGUGUAAUACAGUGCAAAUAAUGGAACGUGUCCCCUUUAUUUCUGUAACUGUAACUUUCGUCGCCAUUUGAUUAGAACUGUUUUCGUACUUCUUCAGUGAGAAACACAACAGAAAGAUCUCUAGACUUCAGCUGUGUUCUGACAAUUACUGAUGAUAGUGAAUCAUUCAUUUAUGUGGUGUAACAGUUUAAAGCAGGUAUGUUGAACUAAGUAGAAUAUGGGAGGCCUGAUAGCUAAAUGUGAGGUCUGUAAUCCUUAGACUUCGGCAAUAAUUUCUAAUCACAGGUUCAGCAUCUAAAACGUCAACAAAAGACUGUCCAAUGUUACGAUGAGCAAAGAUAACAAAUAUUUAUCAUUAUGAGCCUGAAGGAAUAGAACGUCAACUCGAAGUCUGCACUAGGUCCUCCUUGGUGCAGCCAUCAGGAGGUUGAUGUAUGUCAACAUCUACUAUAAAUAGCAGUCACAAGUUUGUUUGCAAGGUAGCCAGCCUUAUGUCCACUGGGCAACUUAUUAAUGAAAAUCUUUUUUUUUUUAAAGAUUAGUUCAGGUCUAACUUUCAAGACAAUUUUAGGUGUUCUUUGAUUUGGUGAGAACCUAGAACCUGUUAUCAUUCAAGCAUUCUCAAAAGAGAUGCAUUCCAUACUGGUAGCGUCUGUGAGAUGGUAUAACUUUGGGUGGACACGCAGACCUCAAUGUCUUUCCAUGCAGUGUCAUGAAUGUUCAUUUCUACAGUGAUGGCAUCUUUGUUUAUGUCCCUCUUUAUUUGUUUGCAAUUGCUGACAAUUUCGUGUUAUAUGCCAUUUCUGUUAUGCCUUACAGAGCUCUCAAAAUGAAUGAUAAUAAACAAAUCAGCAUGAAUUAGUGACCGGUUUGGAAGGAAGGCACAUAGUUGCUCUCAGCUCUCCUCAAACCUUUGCCAUGCUCACUUUUUACAUAACUAGUAGAAUGCAUAAUUAAUUGUACUCCAUGCAAAUGGUACUUUUUCUACUCCACACUGACACCUUGGAUGUGUUCAUUUCAUGCAAAUUUCUAUAACACCAUAAUUUUCAUGCUAUCUUAUUCAUAUGUGCACAAUACUGCAUGGCAGUUUCAUUAAAUAAGUCAUUUCUAUAAAAAGAUAUAUACGUUUCCUGCACAUUUCCUCAGGGGGUUUACUUUGAAGUAAACACGGGUUUCACAUCCCCGAGGUACCCCAGUGAACUUGAAACUCCUCUCAUUGCUAGUAUCUAAAAAUAUGUUAAGUCAUCAUUGGUUGUAAUUUUUAACCUAUAAGUUGUGUAUGUAUGAUCUACUUAAUUCUAAAUAGCAGAAUGUUUUUAGAUGUCUGCAUCACAUUUUUUAAAAUUCAAAAAUUUUUCUGCCCAGUUAACAAGCACUGAGUGGCAUAUCAAGUGCAAAAUUUAUAAUGAAGUUAUUGCCAAAUUAUGUUAAAUAACUUAAUGCGUUGAAACUUGAAAAUAAACCACUCUGCUGAAAAAUAGAAGUAUUUUGAAAUGAAAUGGGAGACUUUCUAAUCUUUAACAUUUUAUUCAAAACAUGGCAAACAAUUAGAGAAGUCAUUAGUUUUUUCCACAACUUAUGAUGUUACAUCUUUGAUACAUUGCAGAUGAAAAAAUGUUUGUAUUUUAACAUUUGGUACUAUUGUGUUAAGCUGAUUUUAAAAUUUUCUUCAUUGCCUGGUGGUGGGCCAUUAAACUCGAUAUAGCUUGAUUUUCAAACGACAGUAAUUUAAAAGUUGCUAUACGAUAUGACCGUAUUAAAAGUUGAUAGGAAAUGGAAAUAUUUUAUGGUUUAAACUUCCUCAAGCGAUUUACUCUGAAGUAGACAUGGGUUAUUUCAUGACCCUAAGGUGUAGCCUAGUGAUCUUUAACUGCCACCAGUUUAUUUUAAUAGGAGGAAAAGGUCUUCACAACUAUUGUCCUGUUAUAUCGUCCGUAAAUAGCUUUCAAAUACUAAUUAGAUUCCUGUUUCAACAAGCCUUUUUUGGUUAUGUUUGUUCCAAGGUACACAUUAACUAUAGAAGGCAAAAUGCCAACUGGUAUAAAACAGUAGCAUAGUGUGAGAAAAAUUAGGAGGGAUGCCAUCUGCUUCAGAUUCAACUAAGUACUUUACAAAACAGUGGAGAACUAACUAAAAUCUGAAGGACACGACAGGUCAUAUCACAAUCAACAAAGCGGUAUGCCUGUGGAUUAUUUAGAAGUAGUGACAAGUUAAAGUUCUUUAAAUCGAAUUUAUUAAAUCAAUCGCACAUUGAAAGACUGCCGCUCAAAAAUAUUUAUCCACUGUCCAGAGCUAGUUGGCAUCUCUGCAAUAGAAUGCCAUAUUUGGCUGUUGUAAGGUUUCAUUUAAAUGAACGUACAUGGUAAUGCUAGGCAUGUAAUCUUCCAUUUCUUUGACUUCGAGAACUUCUUGCAAGCGAUCAAUUACUGUAUAAAAUAUUACUAAGAGUAUUUUAUGCAUUUAACUUCCUCAGGGGGUUUACUUCUAAGUAAACAUGGGUUUCACAACCCCAAGGUACCCCAGUGGUCUUCAACUGCUAAAAGCUAAUAUGUUGCCAAGUUAAGCGACCAGUUUGUGACUGUUAAUGCUAGAAAUUAUCUAGCUUGAUUUAUUAAACACAUAAAUUAGUUCACUUGUAGCAAUCACAUGAAAAUGCUUAAUAUCUUAAAAGGGACAUAGAUGAAAUUGAACAAUUCCUAUAUUAAAAAUGCUCGCUUGUAGUUGACACACAUCUCAAUUUAAAUUCUUCACGUAUGGCAUCGGGAAUCUGCAAAAGCGUGACAAGUGGCCAAGGCAUUUGUGACUUUUGACAUUUUAAAUUUUGGAGAUUGACUAAGAUAUACUAUCCCAUCUUUCCGAAAACGCCAUCCCUAAAAUAUAGCUAAAUACUGUAGAAGGCUCUUGAUUGAAAAAAAAAUUAUUGAAUACUGUCAAAAUAACCACUAUUUUGACUGAGACUGACCAGUGACGGUUUCCGGUUCGGACCCCAGGCUCCAGUUUGGAUAUCCUCACUAGGUGGAGCAACAUUCUCUUUGGGUUGGCGUACUGGGUGAAGGCGUAUCAGAAGGUUGUAUACUACUGGUUCCGCCCAGAAGAAACAAAACACCGACCCGUGGCUUGGUUGACAACGGUGAGCUAUGGUGGGUUCUAGGUUUCCACCAAGAGUCAGUCAAUACAAUUACCUGAGGCAGUUCUCAAAAAAAUAAUUUUUUUUUAAGAAAAGAAUUUUAUUUUAUUUACAUGUAACAAAAUCAAUACAUCAAAUCUAAAUUACAAUAAUUCCAGAAACUGUGCUUUUCAAUGAAUCCAGUUUUCCUUUUCUGUUGAUGGCCAUUCUAGUUCAUCCAACAGUUUUCAUUCAUACUCUCCAGUCAGAAUUUACGGACUUCCUUUCUGUUGAUGGCUAUUUUCAGUCAGAAUCUCUACUUUUAUCUUGACCUUUCUUCCAAAAGAUUUUUUUCUUCCAGCAUUUCUUAUCCUUCGGCUGUUGUGAAUCGCAUUCUUCAAGAGAGACGCUCACAGCUGCUCUCGUAUGAAUACUCCGCCACCGUUGCCACCACCACAAAACUCACAAGGAGAAAUAAAUUUGAAAUAAUAUUACUUAAACAAUAAUUGAAGGGUAAUUUGAAAAAAUAACUUGUACAUGAUGUGAAAUAUCUUAAUAAUCAUUUAACAAGGUUUAAAAAUUUCAUUUAUCAUAAUAUAUCAAAUUAGCUGAAGAAAAAAAUCGUAAACUGAAUAAACUCAACAUAGCAUUAAAGAUUUGUUCGGGAUCUUUAAAACCAAACAGUAGAAUUGGUGCUGCCGUCUGUCUGCUCCAAAAGAAACUAACUUAACGAAUGUAUUAAAAAAAAAAAAAAGCUGAAGCUUGUUUACUAUAUUAGAUGGAAAUAUAAUUAAAUACAUUUUAAAAAGAAAAAGUUAAUAGCUAAUUAAUUUACGUAUCUGAAAAAAAAACUGAUUUUUAAAAAGAGAGUUAAUAUAUUAAAGUUUAUCAAAAAUAAGAGAUUAUUCUCUCAUUGUCUGUAAAAAGUUUAUGUAUCCAUUUAGGAUACCGAUAAUGGUUUUUUGAAGUUCGUCAUUGGAUUGAGACAUUAGGAAAUUGGUGAAAUUGUUAACACCGUUUUUUAAGUCAUUAACUUCGCAAACCUCGUCGGGGGCGAUCAAAAUUAAUUCUUCGGAAUAUGUUAUGCCAAAUAAUUAAACAUUUUAUUCCCUACAAACUGUUUUAAACAUUAUUACGUAGUUUAUAAAAGUUUCCUAAAAUUUGGAGAAAAAUUGAGACGCAUGGAACAUUUUGAACAUUACGUUCACUCUUUAGAAUUUCAUUCUAAGAAAAGAGGGUUUUUAAUAUAGUAAUCAAAAAUUUACUUCUAAGUACCAAAAUCAAGUAAAAUGAUGUAAAUACUAACGCUAUAUGUUGUUAUUUUGCAUGCUAAAGAAUUAAAAAAUAUAUCAUAAAGUUAACUGACAUAGAGAAAGACAGAUAAUAUGAAUAAUAAACACAAAAACAUUAUGUAUUGUGUGAUAUAAACACUGUUUGAAAAAGAUUUAUUGAUAUAUGAAGUAAUAUGUGCCCCAUAUCUAUGAAAUAUGUAGAAUUUUUAUCUGAAUAUUAUAAGUUAAAAACCACCAGAACAGUAGGUGGCUCCCUCUUUAACUUUUUUUUUGUCGUCAGAAGAUUUCUUAUAUUUUUUGGAAUUUCUCUUCUGAAGAUACUCGCUUAAUUGCCGAAACCUCUUUUGAGAAGCCCUGCUUUUGUCUUUUUUCACAAGAAUAGCUAACGAGGCAUUGUUAGCAUCGAAAAAAGAUUCCGGUGAAGCUAACUCAAGCGACUUUGCGCAUCCAAGAUUGAACUCGCUUACAGCAGACGUUAUGUGACAACGUUACGUGACAACAAUGCUAAUUCACAGCCAUUCAUUAUGAAACCAAAAGUCAAAAUUGAAGUUUUUAAAUUUAUGGUAUUAAUAUUUUAUGAACAAUAAACUGAAACAAUUAAAUACCCAUAGUAGUAUUAAAAUAUGGGAAUUUAGUAACUUAGUGACUCCUUUCUUAAAUGCUUAAACUUAUCUCCCUACACAAGAAGCACUGAGCUGAAUGUGAAUUCUCUUACACCAGAUAGUAAUAUAUACAGUAAAGCAUUUUCGAAUGUACAGAACAAGAUGAUUUCUUUUCUACCUGAACCAAAAAGUGGCCAAAAUUUAGCAACAAUUAAACAGCGGCCCACAAAAUAUUAAAAAAUAAGUUGACCAGAAGUUUACUUACAUAAAACUGCCUCUCGGGCAAACAAAUAAAACUGAAAUGGGAACAUAUAUACACCAAUAGAAUAUUGAGCAUUUAUUGAAAAGUAAUAAUAAAAUAAUGAAGUUGCACCAUUGUAUAAUUUACACUGAUUAAUGAGAUAUUAGAAGGCAAUAUUAGUAAAUAUAGGACAAUAUUAGAGGACAUAAACACACACAAAAAGAAAACAAAAGUACAUAUUUUACAUUACUAUUUCCAACUUGUCGUUUUCUAUAAUAACUUUUUCCCAGGAUGGAAUUUGGGAAAGGAGAGGCAUACUUAAACCUCAUGCUAUCAACAUCCUCCUCACUAAACACAGUCCGAUUUGCCACUCUCUUUACGUGACAAUAAUCUUGAAUCGGUACAGGGUCGAGGCAAGAUCUUUAAUGUUGUUUCUGCCUCCUCCAUGCACAUUGUAGGUCUGUACAGGACAUCUCAAAACGUGUCACAUCAUUUCUACAAAAAUGAAGUUUAAAAACAUCAUUAUUUGCUAUUAAUAACUGUUAAUAAGCAGAAAAUAAAAUAAAAAAUUCCCAUUAUAAAUUAGACAAACAGAAUAAAUAGAUAACUUCUGCUAUUAUAUAUACAUUAAAUAUAAAUAUUUUCAAUAUAUUUUGAAAAAAUCUGAAAAAUUGAAAAUAAAUAAUAUUUAAGAAAAAAGUGAAAUGAAACGUGCAGUGAUUUUCAAAAUAAUAAAUAAAUAAAAACCUUUACUAUCUUGUAUCCCUUCUCAAUAGCUUUCUUCAUUUCUUCGGACACCCAAGUGCCCACGAAUGCUCUUUCGUUAUCAUACUGCAUGCAUUCAGAUUGCUGGCUUGCGUCACAACACUUUUUACAGAGAGGAAACACUAACUUGCCGUGACUUCUGUACGGCAACACUGGGUGAUACAAUUUCCUUGGUGGAAUAACUUUGCUCUUAAUCAGUCCGAAAUACGAGGAGAUAUCUUCAAUCUGAUCAGUAACAAUAACUGGAUGACUAACAGGGUAACUGUAAUAAAAAAAAAUAAUGAAAAGAAAAUUAUAUAUAUAAUAAACAUUCGCAAGUAUAUAACAAAAAAAAAUUAUUGUCGUGACAAUAUUUAUUGCACCAAGGGUACAAACUUGUAAAAUCAAUGUACUUAGCACGCCCCUCAUAAAUGAGCUUAACUGCGUUGGUACGUCCACCAAAAAAAGCAUCUCUUGUCUAUCCUUGAUUUCCAGAUUUUCCAAAAAAUUUUGAAGCUCGCAAUUUUUCUUCAUUUCACUGAAUUCGUGCUCCCACAUUUCUACUAGUUCAUAUCCUUUUCUUCUGAACCUUUCAGAUAUUUCCAUCGUUUUGCUCCUUAACCUACCUCUCCAUUGUUUCGCCAGACACAGGAUUAAUAGAAUCUGAAUCGAAACACUUUUCACACCCGUGAAAAAAGCAGCCUUAGAAUGAGAAAAAAAAUCUUACGCGUAUUCAAUAUACAUAUAAAAAGAAGGGAUGUUGACAUUUAAAAAAUAUGAAUAUAUACUUACGUGAUAUUGGUAUAUUGUGUUUGUUUCAACCUUCACACCGUCAAGCAUUACUUCUCCCCUCCCAUUUAAAGCGUGUUUAAUAAUCAGGUUAUCCCUAAAAGAAAUAUACUCUAGCCACCGAACUCCAUCGAAACUGUAAUUGCCAUUUGCAUAACCAUGUACAGGAACCAUGGCAAUUGUAUUUGUUGUAACGUGAUUGCUUCUGAAGUGUACGUGAUGCUGCGAUAGUCACAUAGCUGAAAAAAAUAAAGCAAAAAUUAAUAUCUUUACGAAUUUAAAAAGAAAAAACUUAAGAAUACACUUUUUUCAUACAGAAUUAAUAUAUUACCAAAAUGGAUCGAUGUUACAAAUUUCGAUGGACAGCUUCCUAAGUUCUAGGCAACACUUUUCAGUAUGUCCACAUCUCAUC